UUCCCCUAGUAACGGCGAGUGAAGAGGGAAGAGCCCAAGAUUGAAAGCUGGCGUCUUCGGCGUCCGCAUUGUAAUCUCAAGAAGUGUUUUCCGCUUCGGACCAAGCCUAAGUCCCCUGGAAAGGGGCAUCAUAGAGGGUGAUAAUCCCGUACAUGGCUUGGAGCGCCCGAGGCUUUGUGAUACGCUUUCUAAGAGUCGAGUUGUUUGGGAAUGCAGCUCAAAAUGGGUGGUAAAUGCCAUCUAAGGCUAAAUAUUGGGGAGAGACCGAUAGCGAACAAGUACAGUGAUGGAAAGAUGAAAAGAACUUUGAAAAGAGAGUUAAACAGUACGUGAAAUUGCCAAAAGGGAAGGGUAGGAGGUCAGAGAUGCGGCCUGGGAUUCAGCCUUGCUUUUGCUUGGUGUUUUUCCCAGAUUGCAGGCCAACGUCGGUUUUGGGCACUGGAGAAGGGUAGGAGGAACGUGGCACCUCUCGGGGUGUGUUAUAGCCUCCUACUGGAUACAGCGACCGAGACCGAGGACAGCAGCGUACUCGCAAGAGCGGGCCUUCGGGCACCUUUACGCUUAGGGCGUUGGCAUAAUGGCCCUCUACCACCCGUCUUGA
rnacentral:rRNA from 1 species